rnacentral:ncRNA from 1 species
CACGCUCGCCUUGGACCUGACCAUGCCCGAACGGGCUCGCCAGGCUCAUGCGGCACGUGCGGUCAUUGGGGAAUGCUACUUGGUUGAUCCUGCUAAUAGUCAUAUGGUUGUCUCAAAGAUUAAGCCAUGCAUAUGUAAGUAUAAACAAAUUCAUACUGUGCAACUACGAAUGGCUCAUUUAAUAAGUUAUACUUUGUUUGAUGGUAUCUACUACUCGGAUAACCAUAGUAAUUCUAGAGCUAAUAUGUGCAAAAAACCAGGACAUGUGGCCGAAAAUGGAUGGGCACUUAAGCGCGCGACGUACACUUAGCCGUCAGGGUAAGUGCCAGACCCCGAUGAGUUGGAGGGAAUGGCGGUAGCUACAAAACCUUGGGCAUAAGCCUGUGCGGAGCAGCCGUUAAGUGUAGAUCUUUGUGGGAGUAGAAAAUAUUCAAAUGAGAACUUUGAAGGCCGAAAAGGGGAAAGGUUCAAUGUGAACGGCACCAGCACAUUGGUUAGUCAAUCCUAUGGGUCGGGGGAACCCCGAAAGAUAGCGCGUUUCGUGUGUACUCCGUAAGGGAAUGGAUUAAAAUUCCGGAACCGGAACGUGGAGGUUGACGACAACGUUAGGAAGUCGGCAAACGUUGGUGGGAGCUUCGGGAAGAGUUGUCUUUUCUGUUUAACAGCAUACCCACCAUGGAAUCGGCUUGCCGGAGGUAGAGUCCAGCGGCUGGAGGAGCACCUCACGUCACGUGGUAUCUAGUGCCCUCCCGGCGAUCCUUGAAAAUCCAGAGGACCUAAUGCCAUCGACACUCGGUCAUACUCAUAAAAGCAUCAGGUCUCCAAGGUGAACAACCUCUAGUUGUUGGAACAAUGUAGGCAAGGAAAGUCGGCAAAAUGAAUCCAUAACUUCGUGAAAAGAAAUAUGCUCGGAGUGUUUGGCAUGGGGGUCCUAGUACCAAACCCACUGGCUGUCGAUGAACUGCAUGAGCUGAUCCCGCGGAAAUAGUUGGUCGCCGUGUGCCGACCGGGGGACGGACUGGGAACGGUUCCUUCGGGGGCCUUCCCCGGGAGUCAAACAACCAAGUCAUAACUGUUACAAACAAGGGGAAUUUGACUAUUUAUUUAAAACAAAGCACUGUGAUGGUCCCAACGGAUGUUUACACAAUGUGAUUUUUGUCUAGUGCUAUGAAUGUCAAAGUGAAGAAAUUCAACCAUGCGGGGGUAAACGGUCGGAGUAACUAUGACUCUUUUAAGGUAGCCAAAUGCCUCUUCAUCUAAUUAAUGAUUCGUAUGAAUGUAUUAAUAAUAUUUCCACUGUCUCUGUCUAAUAUACAACGAAACCACAGCCAGGGGAACAUGAUUGGCAGAAUCAGCGGGGAAAAAAGACCCUUUUGAGCUUGAAUCUAGUCCGACCUUAUGAAAUUACUUGAGAGGUGUAGUAUAAGUGGUAGUCGAAAGGCGAAAGUGAAAUACCACUAAUUUUAACGUUAUUUUACUUAUUCCGUGAAUCGGAAGAGGGGGACUGCCCUCUUUUUGGACCCAAGACUCGAUUUGCGGGUCGAUCAGGGGGAAGACAUUGUCAAGUGGGGAGUUUGGCUGGGGUGGCACAUCUGUUAUAAGAUAACGCAGGUGUCCUAAGAUGAGCUCAAUGAAAAUAGAAAAAUCUUGUGGAUCAGAAGGACAAAAGCUCGUUUGAUUCUGAUUUCCAGUAAGAAUACGAACCGUGAAUGCGUGGCCUAACAAUCUUUUAGACCUUCAGAGUUCUAAGCUGGAGGUGUCAGAAAAGUUACUAGAAGGAUAACUAGCUUGUGGGAGCCAAGCUAUAUAGCGAAAUUUAUUUUUGAU